UUCCGGCGCUACGCGCCGGGUUAGUAUGUUUUGUUUUCUGAUGAGUUGAUAAUUGAUUUUUUAUCCAUUUGAUAGUGGUUGGUGAUUGUAUUGUAUUACUUUGUUUUGUAUUUGGUUAGGUCAAAGAAAAAUAGUAUAAGUUGGUUUUAUAGAUUAAAAAAAUAACAAUAGAAUAAAUAGUUGAUAAUUACACCAAAGUAAAUAUAAUUUAAUUUAAAAUAUAAAAUAAAGUUGAUGCUCCAAAAUAAAGCACGUAAAUGCAUGUGUUUGUUUGUGAUCAAUACUAUUAAAACAGAAGGCUCUUUUUUGAGGUGCCCUCCUGUUUCAACAGUAUUUACAGAGCCAUGCCACUGAAAUAUUUUAAAGCUAUGAUUUUUGUUAAAUUAUGUUUUUCCUUUUAUUCCAACAAAAUAUAUAUUUGCCCUAUUAUCUCUCUCUUUCAUCGAUAAAAAGGUUCUCCUCUCCAACAAUAUUACCUUAUUUCUCUAUCCUUUUCAAUCAAAUCACUAAAGCAUAUCUUAACCAUCAUAGAUCGAGUUUGGUGUGGUGUUUUGGCUCGCUCGCUCUCCCUUUGCUCUUCUUUUACGACCAUGGUGAGGUGAGGUGAGGAUUCUGUUGAGGACGGCGAGAAGUCGAGGAGAAGGCUAAAUCAGAGUUUUGCGAAGUUGGGUAGUUUCUUGCUCCGUCGUGGUUGUGGUUUCCGAUCGGUGGAUUCUACAACCCAACGCUUUCGUAAGCUAUCGCCGCCGGAGUGACCGAUUGAGAACGAGCUGAGAAUGAAUCACAACGCUGGCUGGAGGGAGGUAGCUUGAAAGAUUGCGGCUAUGGGUGUUAGGAGACGGCUGACGAAUCCGCUUAACUGAGGUUUAUUACUUUGCUUCUGGUUUGUACGUUUUUGUUUUAUUUGAUUUGAACCGUAUAAAUCAUUAACUAAUUCUGGUCUAAUUGAAAUCGAUAUAUAUAUCAGUUUACAACGUGAACGUUAUAUGUUGAAUGGUUGAAUGAUUAGACAUUCCAUGGUGAUGGUUGAAUGAUUAGACAUUCCAUUGUUGAAGACCAUGUUGAACUUAUGGUGAUGGUUGAAUUGAUGCAGGUUAUAUUUAUUUCAUUGAUUAAAUUUUUGCAUAAUAUAUGACGGUAUAUGUUAGUACAUUACGGACAGGUUAGCUAUACUUUAGUUUUGCGUAUCUGUAUCAUAACAAUUUAUUAAAGUUAGUUUGCAUAGCAUAGAACAUAUUUUGAAUACAGUUAAUACGAACCACAGAGUGAGAUAUCACUUUGAAAAUCGAGAAUCAUAACAAUAAAAUAAAAACCAUUCAGUUUUCUACAAAAAAAUCAAAACCAUUCAGUUUUUUAUAUGAGAAAUUCUUGGGUUCACCCCCUAGGUGAACCUAGAGGUUCACCAACCAAUAGUGGUUGAGUAUUUGAUAUUUGAUAUCUUUUAAAAAAGGAAAUAAAAUUGAAUUUCCAAAUAUGAUAUAAAUUUUUAAAAUAAAAUAAUAAAAAUACAUAAAUAUAGUUACAAAAAAUAAAUAAAUAAAUAUUGUUAAAAUGUUAGCAAAAUACUAAAUCCUAUACCCUAAAUUCUAAACUCCAAACCCUAAAUUAUAAACCUUAAAUCUUGGAUAAACCGUAAACCAUUGGAAAAUUUUAAACCCUAAAUCAUACAUCAAAACUAAAUAAAUUAAAAAGAUAUCAAAUUUCAAUGGUUGGUGAAUAGAUAAACCUUAAUGUACCUUUUUGAAAACACAUCAAAACCUUAAUGUACCUUUUUUAAAAGAUAUCAAAUUUCAAAUACUCAAUCACUAUUGGUUGGUGAACCUAGAGGUUCACCGUAUUUCUCUUUUUAUAUUGUCGAUAACCACUAAAACUGGGUAAGUAAAAUGCCUCUUAAACCAUAUUUAAUGUUCUUGAAACAUUAAAUAUAUACCAACCCCAUCAAAAUAUGCAUCAUAUAUAUAUAUGUGUAAUUUUUUUAUAAUAUUUAUGUUAACACAUUUGUUCAUAAGUUAUUAUUUUAGAAUAUAUUCUUAAUAUAUCCACAAAAGAAAUAAUUUAGAAAUUAAAUAUGUGAUAGAAUUUUUCUCCACCAGUUUUAACAACAAUCCCAAUAAAUCGCAACACAUCUGAUUAUGUAAAUUUAUUUCCUUCAAAUUAUAAUUAUAUAGAAAAUGUGAAUAGUAAAAGGAAACAAAAAAAAUAUUUUGCAAACAAAAAUAUUCGUUUGUAAAAGCUUAACUAUCAAUUGUUUUUGGGAUUUUCUAUGUUCAAAUAUAUGUUAACAAAUCUUAAAUUUAUGAGAUAUGAUUAUGAAAAUGCAUUAACCUUAUCAAAUCUGAUUUAUAUUAAAAAAAUCCGAGACACUAACUUUCAGAAGUUUUUAUUAUUAGACCUUUUAGGCAUUUUGAAAUAUUUCGAAAGAUUUUAUGGCCCAGAAUUAAUUGAAUCCAUAAAUUUUGUAAUAAUCUAAAAUAAUUGGUUUUUCUAUUCCGAUCUGAUUCCCUAGACCACUUCAAGUUUGAGUAAUAUAUCAGCCGUUUGACGUAAAAAAAAAUACAAAUGGGUUAAGAAGAAAACAAAAUUACUAGAUAACAUUUCACUGCCCCCAUUACUCAUAAGAUAAUCAUUUGAUCAAACCGCAAAUUAUAAAAAUACAUUAUAACCAAUUUUUUGACUUUUUUUUCUUCUGAAAAGUGGGUAUUAAUAGCAUCCGAUAACAGCACAUUAUAAGCAAUUUAAUCUCAUUAAAUUAAAAAAGUUAUUAGUUAAUAUAAGAUAUAUAAUGAUAUUAGUAUUUAUUAGGUAAUGAAUAAUAAUGAUAUAUGAACAUAUAUUUUUAAUGAAAAA